rnacentral:lncRNA from 1 species
GCUGUUCUCUCUGGUUAUAAAUCCCUCCCUGUCUCCUCCUCUUAUCUCACUCAAAACCCAGCUGAGAUUUCAGCAUUUCCAUGCAGACUCCUCCCUUAUACCUGUUCUUCUUUCCGCACUUGGGACUCUGCCAGCACUUGGCAUUUAAUCAGCCACAGUGGAUUUAAGUGUUUCACUUGUGAGUGGCUUAUCUCCCACAUUACACUAGAUAUUCCUUGAGGGCACUGACCAGCCUCCUGCAUCCGUCCGUCAGCUUGGCCCAGCCACAGCUCUGUCUCUUCUUGGUGAGUGGCUCUGGGCACUUGCCCCUUCCCAUCACUGUGCCUAAUCCCUCUCCUGUACACGGUGGGGACCACUGGAGGAGCUCUGGAGACUCCCUCUUGUGAACAUUAGGACUCCAAAAUGGUCCCCAGCUUGCUUCAGAGAGCUCACAGCCAAGAUGACAAGUGAGACCAUCAACCAUCAGUCCACUACCACCCUCAUAUCAUUGUUUUAUAUGUAUGAGAACCACCAUCAUCAUGGCAGUUACCUCCAAUUCAGCACCUUUUACAGAUCAUCACCAGUGUUAAUUGAAUGCAGGUGCCGGGGGAGACUGAGGCAGAAGAAUCGCUUGAACCCAGAAGGUGGAGGUUGCAGUGAGCAGAGAUCGCGCCACUGCCCUCCAACCAGGGUGACAGAGCGAGACUCCGUCUCAAAAAAAAGAAAAAAAGAAAAGAAAGAAAGAAAAGAAAAGAGACAAAAUGGCAGAGUCUGACCUUCGGACCUUCGGGGCACUCUGCUGGAAAAGCGAUGAUGGGCAUGUGCACCACUUCCUAAACACAUUGCGCAUGCUCACCUCCGGAGGCAGCUUCUCACUCAGCUGCCAUGCAUUGACUUCCCUGUUGAUCCAGCCUACUGCGGACCCAAAUAUUCCUGUUGCCAGAUAGGAGGGAUGAGUAAUGGAGACUCCAGUCCUCAGAGACCUUGAUCAAGUAAAGCAAAAACCCCUUCCUCCACUUUCUUUGCAAGUGGCUAAACCCUUAGUCACUCUGGGAAGAAAAGUAAACUGAAAACUUGAAAAAGUCCCAAGACAGAAUCUAACUCCAUCCCCUGCCCCAGAUAAAAAGCAAGAUAGCACAACUAUAGCAACCUUUUAAGUCAAAUUAAAUGAGCUAAUAAAAAUCAGGCCUGUUCAAGUGCCCAAUUGAUUUAAACAUGAAGAUUGUCAGUUUCCAGCAUCACUGAUUCUAAUCCAACAACCCUCACCAUAGAGGUCUUCAUUCAGCCUGCUGUGUUUGGAGGUUUUGCUUAUUGGGUGUGUAUCUGUAAGGUAAAUCUUGACGAUUUCCUUACUACAGACAAUUAUCUGGCUGGAGAUGUC